AUGCCAUGUUCGGGGCGAGACCUUUUUUGCCGUCGGUUAAAAAGCACGCAUCUAAAAGCAAAUGAGUAUGCCACGUCCGUUUUGAACAUCGUUCCGGAUAGGUUGAACCAGCGAACUACUCCAACGUCCAACCUCCCGAGUCUCGACCUGGAUCUUCCCCACUCUUCUCCACACUCUGCCCUCACCUCUCAUCUGGCCUCCGCGAUCUCUUCCCCCUGGCUUGUCCUUGGCGACUUCAACCUCAUCCGCUCCCCCGCCGAGAAGAACAAACCUAACUUUGGCGCCUCACGAGCUGCGGCCUUCAACUCUCUCUCUUGGUUCGAGCUUCCCCUCUCAGACCGUCUCUUCACCAGGUCUAACAAGCGCACUCCUCCUACGUUAGCUCGUCUUGACAGGGCUUUCUUCAACUCUGCCUGGGACUCCCUCUUCCCGGACUCCUCCCUCUCCUCUCGUGCUCGCCCUACAUCUGAUGACUUCCACCUUGCCCUACAUCUGAUGACUUCCACCUUGCCCUACAUCUGA
rnacentral:rRNA from 1 species